rnacentral:rRNA from 1 species
UUUGGUGGUCAUAGUAACUUUUCGAAUCCGCAUGACUUUACGUCCGGCGAUGGUUCAUUCAAAUUUCUGCCCUAUCAAGUUUCGAUGGUAGGAUAGAGGCUACCAUGCUUUUUUACGGGUAACGGCGAAUUAGGGUUCGAUUCCGGAGAGGGAGCCUGAGAAACGGCUACCACAUCUAAGGAAGGCAGCAGGCGCGCAAAUUACCCAAUCCUGAUUCAGGGAGGUAGUGACAAUAAAUAACAAUCCAGGACUUCGGUCUUGGAAUUGGAAUGAGAACAAUUUAAAUCUCUUAUCGAGGAACCAAUUGGAGGGGAAGUCUGGUGGCAGCAGCCGGGUAAUUCCAGCUCCAAUAGCGUAUAUUAAAGUUGUUGCAGUUAAAUAGCUUCGUAGUUGAAUCUUGGGGCUGGUUUGGGGUCGCGUAUUUGACGGUGUAAUUGUCGGCCGGUUCUUUUACUUGUGGGGAACGUAUGUGCCCUUUGCGGGGUGUGUAACGGGAAACCAUGGGCUGUUACUUUGAAAAAUUAGAGUGUUUAAAGCGGGCGUAAGGUUAUAUACCAUUAGCAUGG